rnacentral:lncRNA from 1 species
UUUUUUUUUUUUAAUUUCAUGUAUCCUGGACUGAGUGCUGGAGAAGCCAACAACCCAUCAACACAGACAAAAAAGCCACAGGAAAAGCAAGCUUUCUCUAGCCAAAUGACAAGAAAAAGAGCAGCCUAGCAAGACAAAACUUACAGACAAUAAUUCUCUAUUCCAACAGCACACUACAGAAAACGCUGAACUCCAAUAUCCCUACUCCCUCAUUCUCCACCUGAAAGGCCCAGUCGGUAGCCCAAACUCUCACCUUUGGCCAGCAGCUGAGGUGGUUUCAGAGAAGGCCAAUUGUGGAACUGAGAUCUUUAACCUUAUUUGGUAGUAUCACUGCCAUCUUCACACUUGCUAACCCCAGCCUGAUCGGAAGCUCAGAGCACUUGAGUGUGGUUCUUAAAGAGAAAAAUAACUUUUGAUUUAUAUGGCUGGGACACCGUGGUUGGGAGAAACCUCCACUGUCAGGAGACAGUAAGUAAUCAGUAAGGAUCAGUAAGAGGGUUGGGCAGAUUUCCAGAAAUCAACUUCCAGUCAACCCGGAGAUCAUAGUCUUAAUAGAAUCGUCUUCUAAAUAUCCUGCUAUAAAUUUCCUCCAUAUUCUGAAACAGAGCAAGGGGCUAUAUAACUCUAAAUUUCCUCAAAAUGGCAUUAAAACGAGAUCUAUUUUCACUCCCCUAUCCACUACAUGUACACAAACGCCACCAAUACCUGAAAUUUUGGGGGCUGGCUUUCACAAGGUAAGUUAUAUUCUUUGGCUUUUCCCAAUUCUGGCUUAAGGUGAAACUUCCCUUGUGUAUCACACUAGUCCUUCUGUUAUUUGGUUUUCAGAAUUUUGCUACUGCUUUCUACUUUCCCAUUAUUGUCCUUUUGUACUUAUGAACGGCUCUCUCUCCUUUUUUCUUUUUUCUUUCUUUCUUUCUUUUCUUCCUUCCUUCUCUUUCUUCUCUCUCUCUCUCUCUCUCUCUGAAUUUUUGGCUAGAAAGAUAGCAGAUGCCUGUCUUCAAUACGCGAUUAUUGUAAACAGGUCUAUUUCUAACUUACUAUGAUUUUUCAUAAUGCUUGAUAUUCAGAGGAUUAACAAAAUAAUACAGUAGGCAAUGAAAAGGAUGCUAUCCUUUAUGCUCAGAUUAAAAUCCUAAAGGGACUCCAGCCUCCACCUAGAAUAUAGAAAGUUGGAAAGAAUAUUGCUCCUAAUCUAACAAUGAAAAAGUCCGCAUAGGCCGGGGGCGGUGGAUCACGCCUGUAAUCCCAGCAUUUUGGGAGGCUGAGGUGGGCGAAUCACCUAUUACCUGACGUCAAGAGUUUGAGACCAGCUUGGCUAACAUGGUGAAACCCUGUCUCUACUAAAAAUACAACAACAACAAAAAAAACUAGCAGGGCAUGGUGGCUCAUGCCUGUAAUCGCAGCUACUCGGGAGGCUGAGACAGGAGAAUUGCUUCAACCCGGCAGGUGGAAGUUUCAGUGAGCCGAGAUGGAGCCAUUGCACUCCAGCUUGGGCGAUAAGAGUGAAACUCCAUCUCGAAAAAAAAAGAAAAGAAAAGAAAAAAGAAAGAAAAGUCCACAUAGUCUAGAGAAGCAUAAUUUUCCUUGAACCCACGAAAAAGUUAAGGUCUCAGACAACCACGUAGCCUGAAAUCUAUGGAAAAAUAUGUGCUUCCAAGUAGAAAUGAGAAAUGAAUACUGGCUCAACCAUAGCAAUAGGAUGAUGAUGAGGCCUCCAUGCGAGAGGGUAAGAAAAAUUCAGCAAAAAUUCAAUAUUUUAUGACUUGCUGAAUUUAGUCUAAGUGUUUAUGUCUAAGAAGGAAAUUCUAGAACCCCUAGGAUCAAGUACUCAAGAAGAGUUUUCACACUUUUGCAGGCUUUUCUUCACAAUUCUCAUAGUACUGCUGUCCUCCAUGUUGCAGGAGAAUUGGUUCCAGGACCCGCAAGAAUACCAAAAUCCACUGAUGCUCAAGUCCCUUAUAUAAAAUAACCUAUGCACAUCUUCCUGUAUACUUUAAAUCAUCUCUAGAUUAUUUAUAAUACCGAAUAUAAUGUAAAUCCUAUGUAAAUUGUUGCUAUACUGUAUUUUUUUAUUGUUGCAUUGUUUUUAUUUUUUUCAAAUAUUUUUGAUCCUUGGUUGGUUGAGUCUACAGAUGUAGAACCCGUGCUCAUAAGAAAUGAUGGAGCAGGGCAAGAGAUCAGAGAAAGCCCCUUUCAGUGGAACAGGACUGAGAGAAUAGCCUGUCCCUAAAGAAAGAAAGCUUAAGCACUUACGGAGUAGCAGCAAACAUGGUUAUAUCCAGAGAGCAGAAAAUUCACAGGAGCUGAAGAAAGUAAAAAAGAAUGAAAAUUUCUACUUCAAGGGAGUAUUAGGUACAGAAUAUCAGAGAAUGUCAACUUCUGGGAGCAGGCAGAAUGACCUCAGAGACCCUGAUCACAGAGUCUGCCUGUCUUAGUCUAUUUUGGGUUGCUAUAACAGAAUACCUAAGCUUACGUAAUUUAUAAAGAAAAGAGUCUUAUUUGGCUUAUGAUUCUGGUGGCGGGAAGGUUCAACCACAUGAUCAUCUCAACAGACAUAGAAAAACAUUCAAUAACAUUCAACACCCAUUAAUGAUUUUUAAAAAAUUAGUAAACUGGGAAUAGAGAGGAGCUUCUUCAACUUGAUAAAAAGCAUCUGCAAAAAAAAUGUAAUAUCAUACUUAAUGGUGAAAGACUGAAUGACUUCUCAAGAUAGGGAAUGUCUGACAAGAAUAUCUGCUCUUACCACUCUUUUUUUUUUUUUUUUUGAGACAGAGUCUCACUCUGUCGCCCAGGCUAGAGUGCAGUGGCACGAUCUGGGCUUACUGCAAACUCCGCCUCCCGGGUUCACGCCAUUCUCCUGCCUCAGCCUCCGGAUUAGCUGGGACUACAGGCGCCCGCCACAACGCCCGGAUACCGGCUAAUUUUUUUGUAUUUUUAGUAGAGACGGGGUUUCUAGUAGAGACGGGGUUUCACUGUAUUAGCCAGGAUGGUCUAGAUCUCCUGACCUCGUGAUCCGCCCGCCUCGGCCUCCCAAAGUGCUGGGAU